CGGAGGGUGCAAGCGUUAUCCGGAUUUAUUGGGUUUAAAGGGUCCGUAGGCGGGCCCAUAAGUCAGUGGUGAAAUCCUGCAGCUCAACUGUAGAACUGCCAUUGAUACUGUGGGCCUUGAAUUUGGUUGAAGUGGGCGGAAUAUGACAUGUAGCGGUGAAAUGCUUAGAUAUGUCACAGAACACCGAUUGCGAAGGCAGCUCACUAAGCCUGGAUUGACGCUGAUGGACGAAAGCGUGGGUAGCGAACAGGAUUAGAUACCCUGGUAGUCCACGCCGUAAACGAUGAUCACUCGACAUUAGCGAUAUACGGUUAGUGUCACAAGCGAAAGUAUUAAGUGAUCCACCUGGGGAGUACGACCGCAAGGUUG
rnacentral:rRNA from 1 species